UCCAGACUCCUACGGGAGGCAGCAGUGAGGAAUAUUGGUCAAUGGACGAGAGUCUGAACCAGCCAAGUAGCGUGAAGGAUGACUGCCCUAUGGGUUGUAAACUUCUUUUAUAAAGGAAUAAAACGAGGCACGUGUGCCUUUUUGCAUGUACUUUAUGAAUAAGGAUCGGCUAACUCCGUGCCAGCAGCCGCAGUAAUACGGAGGAUGCGAGCGUUAUCCGGAUUUAUUGGGUUUAAAGGGUGCGUAGGCGGAUCGUUAAGUCAGUGGUCAAAUUGGGGGGCUCACCCCCUUCCCGCCAUUGAAACUGGCGCUCUUGAGUGGAAGAGAAGUAUGCGGAAUGCGUGGUGUAGCGGUGAAAUGCAUAGAUAUCACGCAGAACCCCGAUUGCGAAGGCAGCAUGCCGGCUUCCGACUGACGCUGAAGCACGAAAGCGUGGGGAUCGAACAGGAUUAGAUACCCCUGUA
rnacentral:rRNA from 1 species